UUAUAUUAAGUGAAAUAAGUCAGAGAAAGACUGAUACUGUAUGACAUCGCUUAUAUGUAGAUUCUAAAAAUGCCGUAGAAACAGAGAGUAGAAUAGUGGUUACCAGGGGCUGGAGGAUUGGGGAAAAGCGGCGAUGUUGGACAGAAGAUACAAACUCUAGUUCUAAGGAAAAUCAACAAGAACAUGGAUCCUAUCACACUCAGGGUCUCAUCAUGAAGCAGAUGGAACCCUCAAAAGGUUAACUGAGACAAGCCUAAUGAGAAACAGUUUACAAAGGUGUUGGUAAAAUUAAAGGAGUCCAUACAAGGUGCUAAAGCACCCUGGGAUCGGUACCAUUGGGAAGCUGUUAUCUCCUUCAAGCUUACAUGUAGGAACAAGGACAAGAAGCCCAGACAAAGCUUUGAGCCAUGAAACAAAGUCCAUCAGAUUGAAGCAGCAAUCCCAGAAAGAGUCACUGGUAGAAAUGGGGUGACACUGGAAGGAAUCAGAGGGAAUAAAUUCUUUUAAAAUAAAAUAAAUUUUAUUUUCU